GUGCCAGCAGCCGCGGUAAUACGGAGGGUGCGAGCGUUAAUCGGAAUCACUGGGCGUAAAGGGCGCGUAGGCGGCUUGUCAAGUCAGGUGUGAAAGCCCACGGCUCAACCGUGGACGGGCAUCUGAAACUGUCAGGCUCGAGUACUGGCGGGGAAGGUGGAAUUCCCGGUGUAGAGGUGAAAUUCGUAGAUAUCGGGAGGAAUACCGGUGGCGAAGGCGACCUUCUGGACGGAUACUGACGCUGAGGCGCGAAAGCGUGGGGAGCGAACAGGAUUAGAUACCCUGGUAGUCCACGCCGUAAACGAUGUGCACUAGGCGUUGGGCCUUGGAGGCUCGGUGCCGAAGCUAACGCGUUAAGUGCACCGCCUGGGGAGUAUGCCGGCAACGGUGAAACUCAAAGGAAUUGACGGGG
rnacentral:rRNA from 1 species